UUGUUGAUAUUUUUAGACUUGUUGCAAGGUUGUUCCAACAAGUCCGAUACAGUCAUGAUGCAACAAAUAUUGUCACAACCUUGUGUCGUCAACCUUGCAACGUUCUUGUAUAAGGACAAUGUGAAUUUUCUAUAGAGAGAAGACAGUUUCAACCACGUUUGUCCAAAAUUAUCAUUUAAACAUUCACCGUGCAACAAGGAGUUUCUAGAAAAAUCUGAAUGUCUGACGCUACACCUAUAUUGGUCUAGUCCUCGUUGCAGGAAACGGUCAUGGGGAAAUCCCGUGGUACUUGAUCGAGAGAACUGGAUUAAGUUUAACAAUAAUUCGCCCUCGACAUUGUUGCAUCACCGCCUAUCAAUUUAGGGAUAUUACGCGUUUGAGGGCGUUUUUGAUCUUUUUGUAUUUAACCCAAGUGUAAAUUAAUUUGUCUCGUCAUGGUUUUGCCGUGUAUAUUUGGAAAUGAACUAGUUUCUUUUAUAUCUAUCACAACAAAAAUAAGGUCAUGUUUAAAAUCUCUUCCUCUCGAGAAUUCCUGCGCGAAUAUCACCAUGGAAUAUCACCCACGGGUUUAGUUGAACAGUUUUGUUACCAUGACGAUAUCACACCUACCGACGUCAGCGCCCAGCGUGUGAUGACAGAGUACACAGGAGUUGUCGUGGGCGAUGUCAGGGAGGAUACUGUUGAAGUGACAAUGAGACAGGGUUAUUUAUAUUUUGAUUAAUGAUGUACUAUUAAUAGUUGCGAAGACGCUCACUGUGUUUGGAC